UUUUCUACAAGUCUUAUACGAACGGAAGCGUCAAGAAGCAAAUCAACUUGUGAUUUGAGAAGCUUCUGAAGCCACUAAAUAACCGACAUAGUGAGACUAUACAUAGAGACCAUGUCUCUCGGUGGAGGUGCGUCCGAAAAAAGAAGUGAGUGGUAUGUGUGCUGAGUAAUUCUGUGAGAAUGUUGAUGAUAAUUCUCCAGGAAGCAUUCAUAUUGGAAUGAGAAGAAUGGUUGGGCAGGUGAAGUGGCAGAGAUACAAUAUGUAAGUAUUGUUUUUCUUUAACAUGGAAGUGUUACAAAUUAAAAGUGAUUUUGUUUGUAAGAGAACGAGAGCAUCAUCCUCAACUAUUCAGCCCGAUUCAGAACUUCAGAAACUUAAAAAACAGGUGGCAGAAACUUUUAGCUGAGACACAACAACAAAUGACAGCACAACACGAUGAACAUCAAAGAGCUCCAGCUGCACUUAACGCCAACCAAAGAAAGAUGAUAGAAAAGAUUGUUGCUGAGUACACCCACCAAAAGUCAGCCACCUCUAUCUGAUUAGCCUAUUUUCAUGACUAGUUUAGUAUUAAUAUUAAAGACAAUAUUAUUUUAUGUCAAGUUACAUUAUUAAUGUUUUUAUGCUUUUGACGUUUGCUAGUUAAACUUAACGGAAAGUUGUGCGGUUGUUUUUACUUUUUAAUUUGUUGGCUGACAUGGUGAUGGUAGUACUAUUUCUUAUGUGA